rnacentral:lncRNA from 1 species
UUUUUUUUUUUUUUUUUUUUUUUUUUUUACAUUUAUCUUUACCAUUUUACCUGUGUAUAUCCUUUUAGUUCCUGAGUGACUGAAACACCAAUACUUUCAUGACUUUUUAAUUUGCACUUUAUUUUUUUCCUUCCACAAUUGUUCUCUGGACAGCUGUGGGUAUGAGUGCUGGAGCUCGGUGAGGAGAAGUGCCCUGUCCAUCCUCUAUCCCCAGCCCUCCUCCCCCACUUUCCAGCCUGCUGUUCCAAGAGCUCAAGGGAGGUGGAAUUCACAGGCCAGGGUGCAUCUUUUAUUUAUUUAUUUAUGUUGCCCAACAGAACUUGAUUGUAAAUAAAAAAGAAAUCUGUUACAUACUUUAAAAAAAAAUAAAAGAUUACUUAUUUGAGAGAGAGCAUGAAGGGGGGCAGGGCAGAGGGAGAGGGAGAGAGAAACUUUAGCAUAUUCUGUGCUGAGUGAGGAGCCGGAUGAGGGGCUCCCACCCUAUGACCUUGAGAUCAGGACCUGACCCAAAACCAAGAGUCAGGCACUUAAGUGACUACACCACCCAGGCGCCCCUGAAACCACUUUUUAAAAAAAACUUCCAAACCAUCACAAGCUGAUCCUUGUAAAUACAAAAUCACAUGCUUGAAUAUUUUGGCACUAUUAAAUUACUAUUAGCCUUUUAACUGCCUACUUUCUAGGCAUAUUUCUGUUCUCUUUUUGUGCUUAUCUCUUCUUCAACCAGUAACAGUUCAGUAUGGCCUUGUAGACCACACUUUGAAUAGUCCUGAAGUUUAUGCUCCUGAAAGAUAGUCUAAGAAAAAUAUCAGGCAAAAGUAAACUUCAGUAAAGUUCUUUUUUUUUUUUUUUAAGAUUUUAUUUAUUUGAGAGAGAUGGUGAAAGAGAGAGCAUAAGCAGGGGGGAGUGGCAGAGGGAGGGGAGAAGCCAGCUCCCUGCUGAGCCUGAUUUGGGGCUCCAUCCCAGGACCCUCAGAUCAUGACCUGAGCCAAAGGCAGAUGCUUAACCAACUGAGCCACCCAGGGUCCCUUUAAUGAAGCUUAAUAGAGUAUUAGAUCCUAUUUAAUAAUUAGAAUAGUACAUGUAUUUUCCUUUGACUGUUUUGCUAAGUCAUCCCUGUUGAUGCUCAUGGCUGUGGUGGUUUUCUCUUACUGUGUAUCUGUCCAUUAUAUGAGGACACUGCAGUGUGUGUCUCUUCUGCUGUGCUAGCACCUAGACUGUCACAAAGUGAUGAACAUUUUUUUUAAAGAUUUUAUGCAUUUGAAAGAGAGAGUGAGCAUGAGCAGGAGGGGAGGAGCAAAGGGAGGAGGGAGAAGCAGGCUCCCUACUGAGCAGGGAGCCCAGCAAAGGGCUCUAUCUGACCUGGGAACCCAGAGGAUCAUGACGUGAGCUGAAGGCCGACACUUACCCAGCUGAGCCAUCCAGAUGCCCCUCAAAGAACAUUCUUACAUAUCUCUCCUAUUGCAUAUGUGUAGGAUCUCUCGAGAAUACAUCCAGGAGUAGAACUGUUUGCAUACGAAGUGUGUAUCUUCACCUCCACCUGGUCCUAACUAACUCUUCUCAUAGCAAUCGAUGCCUUGACAGCAGCAAUGGGAAGGCUCUACAUUUGGUAUUCUCAGACUUGAAGAUUUUGGAAAAUCUCCAGGGCAUAAAAUGAAAAGGCAAAACUAAAGAAUUUGAGAAAUAAUAAUGCAAAGAAUACAAUCCACCAUAAUCCCACCAUUUUAAUGUAUUUCAGUUACUUUUUUAGAGCCAUGUAUAUGUUGUGAAAGACAACAUUUGUCAUUUGUGUAUUUGACCUCAGUGUUGUGUAAUUUGCAUUUCCAUGAGAUUCAUUUGUUUACUCCUGGCUUUGCUUACCCUUUGAUUUUCUUUUAUAAAGUCCCUGUUCAAAUCUUUUGCUUGUUUUAAAAAAUGGGAUUGUUCGAGACUUUUUUGGUUAACAGGACGCCCUUAUAAAUUCAGGAGGCCAAUCCUUUGGUUAUAACUUUCAAAUAUUUUCUCAGUCUGUUUAUCUUUCUGAUCCUAAUGAAAUGUUUCAGUUUUUUUCUGUAUUGUUGGUAUUUUUAUGUCUUGCUGAAGAAAUUCGUCUCCAUCUUGGAGUCAUGAUUAUCUUCUUUUGUACUGUGUUCUAAAAUAUGUACAGUUUUAUGUUCUAUAGGAUAAGGUAAAUAACAUGGUUAUUAUUAUUUUUUUAAUUCCUUGAAAACUCAUUUUUCUCUGUUGAUUGCCGUACCAGUUCUGUCAUCUAUCUAUAAAUGCCCAUUUUA